rnacentral:misc_RNA from 1 species
AUACAGCCCCGAUAGAGCCGAUAUCCUCGAAGCGUAGCGGAGAGAUAAAGGCGAAAGCGGGACCCUUG